GAUGAGGGCCAGCAUAAUUGUCCGAGCAAGGGUCCUGUGAAGAAUCCUUUUCCCUCCAAUGAUAAUCCCAGUUGCGGUCGGUGUCCACACCCACACAAUCGAUAGGAAAAUAUUCAAACGAUAAAGUUCAACCAGUAUGAACAAGAAAGCUCAGCAGUGUAUAUAAUCAUGGCAAUUUAUAUCCUACGCUAAUUUUAAUAAAACUUGAAAACUUUCCAUAAAAUAUUGUA